rnacentral:rRNA from 1 species
CAGUUCAGAUUGCAGGCUGCAACUCGCCUGCAUGAAGUCGGAAUUGCUAGUAAUCGUAGGUCAGCAUACUACGGUGAAUACGUUCCCGGGCCUUGUACACACCGCCCGUCAAACCAUGAGAGUUGGCAACACCCGAAGUCGGUAGUCUAACCGCAAGGAGGACGCCGCCGGAGGUGGGGUUGAUGAUUAGGGUUAAGUCGUAACAAGGUACC